UGAUCGCCAUUCUCUUCUUUGCUCUUCUCGCAAUAUUCUUUGCGCCUGAGAAAGACAGGUUCAAGUGCUCAUUAACGAGAAUGAAAGAAGCUAAAAAUUCAUCUGCUAGAUUUCAGACGGAGUUCAAUCCCAGAAUAUCUAAGAAAAGAAGAAAGGAGUGCAAACGAAAACUAAUGGAUUUCAUAGUCCUUCGGACGGACUACCGCACCUCAAUUCAUGAAAUAUUCUUUGUCAAUAUUCUUUUCACCUCCGGAGCCUCUCUUUUCUUUCUGUCUUCCCCGUCCUCCGGACUAUUCAACCUAUUCCCCGUGAGACUCAGAUUACUAAUUCUCUGUUUGAGACUGGAUCGCAUAUGGUCUGACUCAUUUUAUCGCAAGAUCGAAGACAAUAUCCAUUCUGCCCGCUCCCUUCUGAUUGAUCUCUUGACUGCUGAAAAUCUUCCUUUUCCCCGCUCCGUGGGCUACGCUAUGGGAAGAGUUAGUCCGAGACUUUCCAGUUGAGAUAUUCAAACCUAUCCUUGACUCGUACAGCUUCAUGAAAAUACAAUAUCUAGUACACAAUCACCUUUAUAUUGGCGUCGGCCUAGGCCAGUGAAAAGCCUAUGGUACGAGAGAAAAUGCUUUAGGAAGGGGGGGGGCCCGUGGAUCGGAGCGAAGCAGCUCACUAUAAGAGUUGGGCGCUACAGAGGUUAUGAAAUAACUCGACUGAAAGGAGAGGGGCGAAGAGACUCGACCGUAGGGAGAGGGGCUCCGGUAUCGGUGAAUAUGCUCUCCCGUGCAGGUUAGUUCCCGAGAGUCCGCCUAUAAAUGAACUUUGCUCCGUUUUAGAGUCCUUCGGUUAAUUACGGAUGGUCCUACUUCGGUUAAUUACGGAUGGUCCUACGGAUAAAUCCUCCGGACUACUUCCCUCCAUAUGGAUGGUCCUACGGAUAAAUCCUCCGGACUACGGAUAAAUCCUGCGGACUCCGGACUCCGGACUACUUCGGUUAAUUACGGAUGGUCCUACGGAUAAAUCACCUGGACCUUUCUUUGGCCCUGCGGACUCCGGACUCCGGACUACGGAUAAAUCCUGCGGACGUAGGACUCCGGACGGGUCAAAGAAUUUGAGAAGCUGCGACGGAAAGGAAAUAGUGGAUGGACGAGUCCUCCGGACCGGACGACUAUGAAGAAUAUUUGAAAAAGAAAGAAGAUUUGAGGUGCAAAGAAUAUUGCGGAAAGGAAUCUUCGACAAAUCUCAUUACUACUACUAAUAGAAGAAAAGCCUAAAAUAAGCACAUUUGCAUCCGUCCUCAGUCGCAAAGUUCAUUUCUAGAAGGCUCAAAGGAUAUUGAGCGAAAGGCGCCAUAAGACAGGGAUAUUCUUGGACUCAUUUCAUGGGGAAUUUGGGCAAGACGCCUCUAUCUGAGAGUCGAGCUACUUCAAUCCGUACGUGAUCCUACUUCUUUCAUCAAAUGAAUAGCCCGUAACCAGAAGACCAAGAGCUAUGGAUAAUGCGAGCGAGACGUAAAGAGAUCAUGACUCGAUUCCCAUCUUCUUGCUUUAAUGGGACUAGGGCUCAUUCCACUUAUUAUCUUACCUCCUUCUCAAAUCAAAUUCUUUGAGCAAAAUCAAGCUCCCCUAAUGGAUAGUCCUUCUUCGCAAAUUCUUUGCGCCUGUCUCGCAAUAUUCUUUGCUGCACCUUGCUGACUCAUGAAACUCAUAAUCCUAUCUACAGAGCAUAUGAGAUGAUAAGAAGAUCGGAAACUUCUCUUUCUUCUUCGGCAACGGAUAAUUCAACCUCCACUAACCGCUGAAUACCUCUGUAGCAUCCGAUCCGCGAGACCUCUUCUCCUGCCUGCCGGAUAGCUGCUUCUAACCGCGUAGUGGGCAGGGAAUGCCCACUCCUCCUCUUGUUGGAACCUUUAUUCCGACUAAUAAUUGUAUCUGAGUUCCGAUUCUUCUCUCUCUUUCUUCAAGUUCGGGAUCCGGAACGAUUGAUCGUACUUAUUCAACAGGUAAUUCCCUUUUUCUCCUGAUAAAGAAAGACCCCAUCAUUCCCUUUCCGGCUAGUCCUACUCACAGAAAGACUAUCAAAAACCUCCCUCCUCCGCCGAAAGAUGAGUCUGAUACCCGCAGCUUUCUUUCAUAUUCCUUCUAUGAAGUUGGUCGUAUUCGCCCCUGAUACAGAGAAUACCUGCCUCCAUAAUUACGUAACUAGUCCUAUCACUGAAAGAUCUCAUUUGACUGAUUCCCCGCUCCGUGGUAUCCGCUUGCCCUCGUAAACUCUGGACUGAUGAUCAUUCCUAUCCUACAGAGCUGAACUUUUGGAGUACGAAAGGAAUCCCUCCCAGGUUUCUGCUCGCCAGAAGACGAGAAAGACGAGACCAUGAGGCGAGAUGGUAACUACCUUUUAAGGAGUUCAGGCAGUUGAGAUCAGAAGCUGCUCGAUUCCCUUCCCCUCUCAAGAGUCCGUCCUCACUUUCCCUGCUUUGUUUGAAGGCGAAGUUCUCACCGCCUCAAUGAACAAGGGGUUUUCUAAUAGUCUUGUAAAUCAGAAAAAUCCUAUUAGUAGUUUAGUUGGAGGCAGCUAUCUCUCCCAAGCCUUGUGUAAUUCAAGCCGAAUAUACCGCCCCGUAAUACCGCGUUCAAGCUAAUAGUUUGCGUAGAAUUCUCGAUUAAUAUUCUAUUAGGAGAACUCUCUUCUCAUCUCUUGAGAAAAGAAUAUGACGAGACCUAGCCCUAGCCAUGAACUAUUUCUAUAGACCUAGUGAGAAAAGGAAUGAAAUGACUCGACUAAAGAAAGAGGAAGGAAUGCUCUUGCCUCUGAAUUCCGAAACCUUUCUGCUCUUGAAGUAGAGUUGAGGAUGCUGAUCGAUAGGGAAUGCGCUCGAUCCUCACCCCUCUCCUCUCGCCUGGUUCUCAAUUUCUUACGUAAAUACUUCCGCUGGACACAUUUCCAUAAGAGGUUGAAGAUUCCAUCUCUCACGAUCAGCCCACUACGCGGUAAGAGACUGAGAUACCUUCUUUCUAAAUCGGAAGUUUGAAGCGGGUCUCUCGGGGAGUCGUCGUUGAAAGGGAUGCUGCCUGCGGAAGUUGAAUCCAUUUCAGUUCCUCUACCUUCUUCGGAAGUUCUUGCUGAAGAAGUAUUUAGAUCGCCGCUCUGAGUUAUUAAUGAAAUUAAUUACUAGAAUACGACCCGGAAAGGUAGCGAUCGGAUUGACUCGGUGCGGGUAAGGUCUUGAGUCUUGAAGUGAGAGGAAAAGAGGAAAAGCUUACCGCGUAGUGGGUUGGACGCGCCUCAAGCUCAAACUAAGAAGAAAGAGUCUUUUUAGUCGGGAAUGAGAUGAGAAGGAAGUUAUCUUUGUAUGAGAUCGAUCAUAGGAUCGACCGGGAACAGGAAGACUACGAGGUCUCAGUUUGUUUUCUUAGUCUCAUAGGAAUUCUAUAAAGUAGAUAUUCCGGUAAGACCGCCAUAAAAGAUAGGGGGGAUUUAAUGAGUUGAAAGACGACCAGUGGGAGUCAUCAGACUUCCAACAAUCAGACUCAGAGGUGAGGCGCUCGACCUCUUUCAUUCUCGUAUUAUCUUAUCAUCUAUUAGUAAUAAGAAUCCCCUGCGAGCAUGCCUUCCUUUCGUACCGAUCGUCAUAGACAAAAGAUGGAUUGGGUCCUUAAAUAAAUACGAAGAAAGCAUGAAGUAAGCAAUUUCUUUUCUAGAGUUCUCAUUAUGUGAUAGAAUGAAAUGAGUGAGAUUUCUUUCCGGAAGUACGAAGAAAGCAUGAAUUAAGCAAUGAUAUAGGCCAGCUUAUCGUGCUUAUCUUCCUUCUAAGAGGAGCAUGAAAGUAAUAGCAAAGCUCAAAUACUUUGAUCCUCGAACCUCUUCUAUCUUCUACCGUAAUUCGCCAAUCUCGAUGAAAGAGCAGGUAACUACCCCCCCCUCUUUCUUUACGAUUUACGGGUACUUACUCGUGCACGGAAUCAAAGAAGAGGCAGGCGAAGCAUUUUUGAAAUGAGAUCAGCAAGGUGCAAAGAAUAUUGCGAGACCACUAAAUAGAAGACUUAGCCUCAUUCUUCGGCCUUUAUUUGCGUAAAGAUAGUAUUAAGCAUCGAUUGACAAAGAAAGUACUCCAGUACCCAUUGAAAGUUCAGAAGUCCAGCUCUUUGUCAAUACGAACCAACCCUAGCUUGCUUGCCUUCAACUAGAAACUAUUCUGAUUUAGCUUCCACCUUGAAAGACGGAAAAAAAAGAUAGCUAAAGCAAUUCCAUUCUCAGUCAAGUCUAAUCGUACGAAUCCAUAUUCACCUUUUCUUUGCCGCCUUGAUUUUGCAAUAUUCUUUCUCAAUCUUCUUUGAGCCUUAUAAUUGAACCAGAUCCCCAUUAUUAAGCUACGAAGGCCCCAUAAGACAGGGAUAUUGAUUUCAUGAGUUCAAUAUUCUUUGAACCUUAUUCUUAGGCGAAGGACUGAUUUAUCAAGCUUAACUGAACCUUGUUCUGCGCUCUUUAUUUCUUUUCAAAAAGUGGGCAGUCGCUUCGCGCCGCGUAGUGGGGAACUUCCGCGUAGUGCUUUCUGGAUCGAAAGGUUAUCAGCCGAAAGAGCGAAUUCGCACACUGCUGAAAGGCAUAUUUCAUUGCACCUCAAUUCAACUCAUCUGGAGCUUUGAUUUUAGUCUUUCCUUUUGAGUUUGGGAAUCUACUUUGUCCCGCGUAGUGCUUUCUUUAUUGUCGGGAUGAGGAAGUAGGAAGUGGUAUUUCUACGAAUGAAAUGUGUCUCGCAAAUGCAAACAAGGAUUUCCCAUCAUAAGAAAGUUCACGGAAAGCCCUUGCCCUUAUGACUUCAUAGGCUUCGCUUCGCGCCUUUAUCUUUUUCUUCCUUAUUUUUUUGAGGUCUGCUCUCGCUGUGGUUGAAACCCUUGUUUCAGUAGAUUGAGUUCUUGUCUCCUCCCCGGUGGCUGUUGAAACCAGCUAUUAGAAAGAAGAUAGUUCAUUAUAUCAUAAUAUAUUCCCGUGUAGUGGGAUCCGCGCCUCGGGGAAGUGACCAUACACUUGACCAUAAAGAAGGGCAUUAGAAAGAAAGCUAGAAAAGGAGGAAACUUCAGCAUUACUAGUAAGCCCACGUAGCGGAGUAGUCGAGUCUAAAAAGGGUAGAUUCAUUCAAGGCAUAUUUCAUUGCGCCUCGUCCUUCCGCGCUCCGCUCCUUUUUAGUGGACGCUACUUGAUUAUGGGGGGAUGAGACCCAACUAUAAGACUUCGUCAUAUUGAAUUUCACCUUGCCUCCAGUUCCUUGCCUCCGGGAGUAGGUGAUGAGGUUUCGGACUUCUCCUUUUGACUCCUUUUGAGCUCUUUCUUUAUUCCUUUGAUUUUAGUAGGUUCAAUUCAAUAUUCAUGAAUUCAGGCCUAUCCAUUAGAGAAUUUGACUUGUUUCAAAAACAAAGGCUCCAGAUGAGAGGUGCCAUAAGACAGGGAUAUUCUUGAGUCACUAAAGAGUAUUUUCUUGUAACAAAGGCUCAAAGAAUUUGAGGAUGGAUAGGAAAUCCUGAAAUCAGCCUAUCGUCAGGCCUUGGUGGGAAUAGCUGCAGCUAUUUCUUAAACAAGAACAGCCACUGACGAUUCAACUUCUGCAACUGCUACUGCCACAAGAACGGAUGCCUCUUCUUACAGUCGAUUCGACUAAUCCUCUCUUCGUGCCUAAUCCGAUACCUCCCUCUCCCGGGCAGCUGCUUCUCUCAAUUACUGUGACUGUCGAAAGACCGACUACGUCGAGCUCCCUCUUGCUAUGGGGAGAGCGCCUAUUCCAGUCCAGGAGAUCAUAGAGAGAAUAACCUCUUGGUCCAGCUACUAAUGAGUGCAGUGAACUACUCAUGAAAGAGAGAAGAUGGUGCUAUUCCCGCUACGUGGGGGUCGAGCGAGCUCAUACUCACUUCAUAGGCUUCGCUUUUGCCCUCGUUCCUCAACUGGGGGGAGGGGACCUCAUUCUUAGUCUUUUCCCUUGAACCCGACGAAAGAGGCUUUCUCCUAAGAAAUAAUCAGGGAUGGUGCAUCCUCAACUAAUGCCAAUGGGUCGAGGUCGAGCAUUCGCACCUCACCGAAAGGGCUACAGCUUCUACUCCAACAGCAACGUCUGCAACCGGAACAGCCACUCCAAUCAUUGAUAAGGAUCUUUGAACCUCUCGCAACUUCAGAAAGAGGAGCAAGAAAAGCAAGAGCUUACUCAUCAUCAUCAAAUUUCAUUGAUCCUCCGUCCCCCUUUCUUCUUUCAAAGAUUCCGAUUCAGUGAAUCAAAAGUACUUCUAUUCCGUUUGGGACCACUAUUCUCGCUACCGAAAGAACCCCGUAGACCUAUGAGUUCUAGCAGGAAGGAGGCGCGUCCGUCCCGAGUCCUAAGACUUUUGUCGAGCCGUUCCACUCAUCGGGUAAAUCAGGUCUCUGGCUGAAUAAUAUAGUUGUUGUUCGCGCUUCUUCUCGUAAAGAUGAAAGUGUACUCACCGAGUCAACUCCAACAAAGCCCGACCCUUUUUCAAAGAGUGACUUCGUUAUGACGGACAAAGAUACUCAACUAGGUAUGGACGAUCCGACCCAGCCGGAGGCUGAUUAUCUGACUUUAUCGUCUUCAGAUAUAAGAAGCUAAAUAGAGGUUUAUCAAGUCAAUAUUCUUUGAACCUUCGCAAUAUUCUUUGCGCCUUCGCUCAAUUCACAUCCAUAAAUAAAUAGGGGUUAGGAGCUUUCUGAUCCUUACUCUUUCUUUGCUUUCUCCUAGGCUUUCUUCUUUCUGGGAGUCUUCCUAUAUCUUUUUCUGAUAUAAGGAAUCAAACUCCGCUCUGCUUCUUUGCUUCCAAACCUCAAAAUCAGACGAAAGCACUUAAAGAUUGUACAGUUUAGCUUUGACUCUCAGACUCUUAUUCAUAGCCAUCCAGGAAAGAAAAGCAUGACUAGGGAUGUGCUUCUUACCCCAAAGAAGCUUGAACCAAGGGACAGUAUUACCAGGAAGAUGAAAGAGCUUCACUGUCUUAGCAACUGAAAACUGACCUCUGAGGCCAGAUAGUUCUAUCUUCAGUAACCUUGUCCAAAGUCACAUUACUAACAAUGUCUCUCCAAGCAUUAGACAGCAUCAAUGGCUACAAGAAGCCGAAAUGAUCAUCCUUCCAUACAGCAUUCAGCCUGCAUUUCUUGUUAACAUCAGCAUCUCUGCCGAAUACUGAGACAGAGGGUCAAAGAAUUUGAGAACUCGGAAGACUAAAGCUCAAGCGCGCACUAAGAAGAAAAAGGGUGAGGGCCGACGUUCUAAUGGAUAGGACUGAGGCGCAUCAAAAAAAGGGUUGAAGAUGACCUUGAUUUUUUGGACCCUUAUUUAUUGUUUAUUGAGGCGGUUCAAAUAUCGAGACCAGAGGAAGCAAAGAAGCUGCGAGAGGUUUCGGAAUCUCCGGCUCUUGUCCCAGUGACGUCUGAGGCAGUUGAGUAUUUAGCCGAUAUAGUUCUUUCUUCUCAAAUUCGCCUCUCCUUUCAGUCGAGCCUCAAUGCAAUAUUCUUUGCGCCUUUGAAUCUGCGAUAACAUUGAGAUUUCCCAUCACCGACUGGAAGUCGCUAUUUUCUUUCGUCUUGCUCUUCGAUAAUUCUUUGAGCCUCCUUCUACCUCUUUUACACGGAGCGGGUUGGGAAGGCCUCAAGCAUACCAUCGAAUGCCACCAGUCAACCGAAGGCUGCAAUAGGUCCGAUCGCGCCGGUGCCGAUUCAAUUAUUCACCUGGAGACAAGGCUAAGAACAUCCCGCCGAAUGUGAACAAUUCGAAGAAUGUUUAUGUGAAUGCCCUCAGGACGCAUCCUAUGGUAUGCUUUCUGGCCGCUUUACCUCGUAUUGCUAGCGGUCGUGGGUGGCCCUGCGUCGCUCGUCACGUCCGCUUGUAGUGGUCACACAGGCAGUGCCUUUUUCUAUCCUAAAAGAAGGGUAAACCGAGAAACCCGUAGGCUUUCUGUCUUUUCUUUUUGCCUAUUUUAAGUCAUCGACCGCCUUGAUUUAUGUUUUCUCGCUCGCUUUCUCUGCCCUUCGCUUCCUGAUACCGGAAGGGGUAAAGCGGAAGUUCACUCCUAAGACUUGUAAUCAUCUUGCGUGACGGAGAGCCUUCGUCCUUGUCUUGAAUAUCCAUCCUGGACCGGAUAUCCCCGUGCGUCUCAGCAUUAAGCCUAUGCCUUAAAAGAUCCGGCGGACCCCAUCCUAGGGCAAGGUGAAGCCAGUAUGCUUUUUCCAGCUUUUUGCCCCUUUCGUACUGAGACUGAGGCUUCCGUGAUCCUUUCCUCUCUCCGCACCGAGAUAUAUAUCCAAUCGGGCAAUUCUUCCUUGAGCGAAGGAGUCAGACCUCCUUCGGCCUUAGCCUUUUUUCGGCAUUUUGGCCGAAGUGCAAAGUUAGCGAGCGAGCUUCCCCCACUACGCGGGCAGUCGGAUGUGAACUGCUUGUUCAACGAGAAUACCAGAGUUAGAAGAAUUAACCUUCCCACGCAGCGGUGACGAUGCUGUAGGUUCUUAGUGUACUUAGAUUGCAUGGAUUUUUCUUCUUUCUAUAUUUUAGAUAUACUGCUUGGCUAGCUCAGAACGCUAACGCUAAUUUGGAGAAGAUUUUGCAGGUUUGUGAAACCUUUAAGUAAAAGUAAUUAUCCGACUUCAAGCCUCCGGCAACUCUUAGCUAACCCGAAGAGAAAAGGUAAUUCCCGCUCUCGCAAUAUUCUUUGCGCCUUUAUUUAUCCUUUCUUCUUUUCUUAGAUAAAUGCGCUUCGCUUCGCAAUAUUCUUUGCGCCUUUAUUUAUCCUUUCUUUAUCCGUCCGGAGUGCCAAAGAAAGGUCCAGGGUCCGGAGUCCGCAGGAUUCUUAUCCGGAGGACUAUCCAUAUGGAAGUAGUCCGGAGGAUUUAUCCGUAGGACCAUCCGUAAUUAACCGAAGCAGUCCGGAGUCCGGAGUCCGCAGUGCCAAAGAAAGGUCCAGGGUCCGGAGGAUUUAUCCGUAGGACUAUCCAUUAGAAGCAGGAUUUAUCCGGAGUCCGGAGGAUUUAUCCGUAGGACCAUCCGUAAUUAACCGAAGUAGUCCGGAGGAUUUAUCCGUAGGACCAUCCAUAUGGAGGGAAGGAGGACUAUCCAUAUUCAGGAGCGGAAUCAAGAAUAGACCCGUCAGUAUCCGGACCAUAAACUCAAACUAGAACUGAUCCAUGUGAAUUUCUGGGAUAGGCUUGAUUCUUUCAUUGCGUUUUCCCGGCUUUUUUGCUUCUAAAUAGGACUAAAUCAAAGAUUGAUAUUUAACGAAAAUUGUCUAAAAAUGACGGAUUUUUCAUGAUUUCUUGCUACUUUAUAGGCCCAAAACCUAGCAAAAUCUGGGAUUUCCCUCCGUCUUCAAUCUAGUAUUGAACUCCGUAAAAACAAGGUGAUUCAAUCAGAAUUAUUCUUUCAUUAUCGUUAAUGAGUGAAUUAUUCUUUCAUUCUCGUUAAUGAGCUUCUUUCUUUGCGCCUAACGUCUGCUUUAAAGGGAUCAUGACUUUCGCAUAUUGAAUUGCGCCUCCUCCUUCAGCAUAAUCUAUAAGAAGAUUUGCACCUAUCAUGACUCUUUCGCAAUAUUCUUUGCUCCUAACUACGGGGUCCAGACUCCCUGAUGGAUAGUCCUUCGGACCUGUCUUCUCGCCUUACUAUUUUUCUCAUUCUUCCCGUCCUCUCCUCCACUCUCAGUCGAGCCCAUGGAGAUGCGUAGAAGGAUGAAUUCAAUAUGAGAGAAGAAGAUUUUCGGUUCAUUUUCUGUCUGAACUUUUUUGAUUGCUUUCUUCUUUUUCUCGAGACUAAUUGUACGGAUUCUCAUCUAGAUUUCGUUAGUCUUUAGUUUCCCUAGUUUCUAGUCGGACUAAAAUGAAAAUAGUCCGAGAUCAUUCUUUGAGCCUCUUUCAUUGAUCUAUUUUGAUGCUUCCUUGCCAGCAUCUUUCUUUCUCCCAUGCUUUCCGUUGGUCAACAACCAACCACUGCUCUCUAUAGUUCUUCACUACUCGUACAGGAAGGAUUUCUGUCUGGAGGGAAUUUUCUUGAGAAAAAGAAAGAAUGCCUCAACUGGAUAAAUUGACUUAUUUCACACAAUUCUUCUGGUCAUGCCUUUUCUUCUUGACUUUCUAUAUUCCCAUAUGCAAUGAUGGAGAUGGAGUACUUGGGAUCAGUAGAAUUCUCAAACUACGGAACCAACUGCUUUCACACCGGGGGAAGAACAUACGGAGCAAGGACCCCAACAGUUUGGAAGAUCUUUUGAGAAAAGGUUUUAGCACCGGUGUAUCCUAUAUGUACUCUAGUUUCAAAGAAGUAUCCCAAUGGUGUAAGGCCGUCGACUUAUUGGGAAAAAGGAGGAAAAUCACUUUUCUCUCUUGUUUCGGAGAAAUAAGUGGCUCACGAGGUCUCGAAAGAAAUAUAUUCUAUUUGAUCUCGAAGUCCUCAUAUAGCACUUCUUCCAAUCCUGGAUGGGGGAUCGCUUGUAGGAAUGAAAUAAUGCUAAUCCAUGUUCUACACGGCCAAGGAAGCAUCGUUUUUUAAUCAAGGUCGUUCGGACAAAAUAGAAGUUGCGCUUUCUUGAUUCUUAGUAGAAAGCAUUACAAGAGAGAUCAAUAAGAGAAAAAGCGAAGGAGCAGAGCCAAGUUCGAACUAAUAGGAGCGGAGCCAAGUUCGGAACUAAUGGACGUAGUAGGCUCCCCAUAAAUCAGAGGUUAGGAGCCCCUGUUCAUUGACUUUAGAUAUUAUGUCUGAAAAUAUCCUCUUAUUCACUUUGAAUUUCAGCCUAUCCUUUUUAUUCAAUUCAAACCGCGGAGCUCCUAUUCUUUUCAAAGUAAUAGCCGCACUUUGCACCUCCCGCUCUUCAUUUGCAAAGAUGUCCUUAUCAAUGAGACGACUGAGGCUCAAAGAAGAUUUCGAAAAACAAGGCUCCAACUAACCGUCCGGAGGACUAUCCGUAUGAACCUAGCCUUCGGACCAGUCCGGAGGAUUUAUCCGUAGGACUCUAAAACGGAGGACUAUCCAUUAGAACCAUUAGAAUAGAUCAAAAGAUCGUCUUGACCCAGCCUCCGGCUUCUUAUUCCGCUAUCAAAGUAUUCCACUACUCAAAGUAUUCCACUAAGGAAAUGCGCUUCUCACGCAUAUUUCAUUGCGCCUCUUGAGCUCUCUUCUCUCUGUCUUCCUCUAUUUUCUUCUUAUUCUGAUUCUUCCGAUAAUAGAAAACCUUGAACUCUCUUUAAAGAGGCAGAAAGGUAACUGAAAGACUCAUAAGUGCAGCUGUCAAUAUUCUUUGAACCUUGUUCAUUCAGGCUAGGCUUUCCUCUGAAUUCAAACCUUAUAUUCCCUUUCUCGUUGUUCAUAACUAUUCUAUGUGAAUGAUCCCUUGUUCAUUGAGGCGGUCUUCUAUGUUUACAGGUUUGAAUAGAAAGAGUCAUCCCUUCCCACGUGUAAAGUUUCAUAAAUUAAUGCUGCCUCAACCAUAGGCUUUUCUCAAUUCUAUGUGGCCGCCGGGCGGCGCAGAACGCACUAAUCCGCGACCAACAAGUUUUCCGAAACCAAACUGAAGAGAAUUGUUACUUUCCAAAAAUGCUUGCUGAAAAUCAUAGGCUUUCUCCUUUCAGUUUCUCGUAUUCAGUCUCAGGAUAGGCUUUCUUCAGUAUUUAUUAGGUUCUUGGGAGAAUCCUCGUCCAAGACCCCACGGAGCGGGAGAAUCCUUCGUCUGAAAAAGAAGAGAGCCUACUAAAAUAAAACAGAAGACGUAGAAGUCUGCAAUUGAGAUUCAUUCAAGAAGACGGAGCGGAAUAAAGAGAAGGUAAAGUCAGAAAAAGUGAAAGGAAUAGGAAAGCAGUUAAAGGAAGUUCAAGGCUCCCCGGUUUUCAAAUAUGAUGAACUCAAUUCAUUCAGCCUUAACUCGCAUAUUUCAUUGCGCCUCAUCUAGAGCUUUUGUUUUUGUAGUCGCAAUAAGACAGGUCCGAAGGACAGACGGGUUAAUAUGGAUAGUCAUCUGGUCCCUUUUAUUUUGUUCUUUGCUCCUAACGUUCCCUCAAAUUCUUUGAGCCGUCCGGAGGACCAUCAAAGAAAGGUCCAGGUGAUUUAUCCGUAGGACUAUCCAUUAGAAGUAGGACCAUCCGUAAUUAACCGAAGUAGGACUAUCCAUUUUCAGUCGGACUAUCCAUAUGGAAGGAGGACUUUCCGUAAUUAACCGAACAAAGCUCCUAACUACUAAUGGAAAGGACUGAGGACGUCCGAAGGACUCUAAAGCGGACGGGGGGGAUUUCCGCUUAAAAAGUCUUAUUCCAAUAAUAUCCGCGGGGGUAGAUUCAAUCUUCUUUUCACCUCCGUCUCAUUCCCUAAUGGAUAGUCCUUCGGACCUGUCUUAUGGCGCAGUUCUUCCCUCGCAAUAUUGGGCCUCAGUAGCUUAAUAUUCAGGGGUGGAAAUCUUGUUGAAGACGGAGGUUCAUAUGGAUAGUCCUUCGGACCAGUCUUAUGGCGCAUCUGGACCCCUUAUAAUUGGGCCAUAGAUCUUUGCACCUUGUUUUUCUUCUUUGCGCCUAACGGAGGGGAGGGGAUAGACUUUUGACUUUUUCUUCCUGAUCAUCGACCGCCUUUUUUUUGAUUCUUUUCACCUUGUUCAUUGAUUGCGCUUGCACGAGUAUUCUCAAUAUUCUUUGAACCUCUCCUCUGUCUAUUAGAAUAGCGAAUAGUCCCCAGAUCCAAGGCGAAGGACUAGUCUGAAAUCAACCAUAUUAACCUGUGGAAUCUUUGAUACAUCCACAUUGUUCAAAGAAAGCCUAUCCUCCGUCCUUUUUCAAUAUUCUUCGAUCAUUCUUUUUCAAUAUUCUUUCUCAACAAUAUCCCCCACGGUGCGGUAGUCCGUCCGAAGGACUAUUCAAUCCAUUAGUUUUCGCUUGCACUCCUUUCUUCUUUUCCGCAAUAUUCUUUGCUCCGAUCAUUCAUAGAUUAUGCUGAAGGAGGUCCUCCGGACUAUCCAUAUUAGUGACCGCGGAAGAAAAACAAAGGUCUAUAUGAACUAGUUAGGCGAAGGACAGACAGGUUAAUAAAUAUGGAUAGUCCUUCGGACCUGUGGAAUGUAAAAGAAAGCCUAUCCGUCUCAUUGAUAUUGAUAAGGAACCCUCCUCUUGAGUCUGAAAUCUACCCCUAUUUAUUUAUGGAUUUCAUUGAAGGCGAAGGCGCAAUGAAAUAUGCGUUGACGAGCGCAAAGAACUAAAAAGAAAGGUCCAGAUGACUAUCCAUUAGGGAAAUUAAGGAGCAAAGAUCAUGGCCCACUCCUCCUUCAGCAUAAUCUACGAAGCGCAUUUAUCUAAGAAAAGAAGAAAGGCUCUUUGAAUAUUGAGAAUAUUGCUGGAAGAUUUGCACUGGGGGAUAUUGAUUUGAGAGAAAGAUUAGACAUUGAGCCUCCUUCUACGUCUUUUAGAUAAAAAAGAGAUUUUUCUUCCAUAAGGAUGAAAACGAGUCCUCCCCUUGUUCAUUGAGGUCCGCUCCCUCCUUUUGAGCUUUCUUCUUUAUUAUCCCGCUCCGUCUUCAGCUCCGUGGGCUUCCUUUCAUAUUCAACCGCUACGUGGGAGAUAGAAGAAAAUCAAUGAAGAAGUCAAUGCCCACUACGCGGGGAAGGAGACAAGACUACGUAGCUACUUUCAGUGGAUAGGUCGUCCGGAGGACUUGUUUUUAUCCAUCUGAGGAACUCAAACUUAUGGCCUCCGUAGUCCGCUCCCUCCUUUAUUUUCAAGGUUUCAUAUGAAAGGUUUGAAGUUAGAAGUGAAAGGAAGAAAAAGUCAAUGGAAGUCCUCCGUCUCUCUUCUUUAUGGUCCGGAGCCUUCGAUCAUUCUUUGAGCCUCCAGACCUACUAGAGAAAGCCCCACUCCGCGGAAGAAUCCAGAAAGCUAAGCUUGAUAAAGUCCUCCGCCUAAUUCAAUGGAUCUAAUGGACGCAAUAUUCUUUGCACCUGGACCCAGCCUCCAGCUUCUUAUUCGACGUUAGGAGUAUUAAGACCGAAGGACAGACGGGUCCUCCGGACCUGUCUGUCCUUCUAUAUAUUCUUUGCACCGCUCCGUGGGUCCUUUCCAUUAGUAGUUAGGAGUCUUAAGACCUCAGUCCUAUCCAUAUUAACCCGCGCUAAGUUCCAUUAAGAGAAAAUUCUUUGCUCUCUGCGACUCAAAGUAAUAGUAUUCAACAAUAUCCCUGUCUUAUGGCGCCUCGCAUAAAUACGGCUUCGAUCAUUCUUUGAGCCUCCGUCGCAAGUCAAAUUCUCUAAUGGAUAGGCCUUCUCCUUCGCCUAUAAAUUCCCAUAUUAAGCUACGAAAUAAAGAAAGCACUACGCGGGAAGAACUGAUCAAUGAAAUUUGAUUGAUUGAAUUUCAUCAUAUCAUAUUUGAAAAAGAAAGAAUAUUGAGGUGCAAAGAAUAUAUAGAAGGCGCAAAGAUCUAAAAAGAAAGGUCCAGAUGACUAUCCAUAUUAACCCAGAGAAAGUUCAGUCAGUUUCAGUGGAAUAAAGGGAAAGCCUAUCCAACAACAUUUCAGUGGAAUAGGAGAAAGGAAGUCCUCCGCUCCGUUGGAGUUGAAUUGGUCCUACGGGAAGAAAAUCAAUGAAGAAGUCAAUGCCCACUACGCGGGGUUAAAGUGAAAGAGGAAAGCCACUAAAAACCUCAAAAUAAUACGGAAAGCCUAGCCUUCUACGGCCUCCAAACAAAAAAAGCUUUACUAGACUCAAAUUCUUUGAGCCUCCGGAGCCUCAAAAAUAUAGCUUAAAGGAAGAGGUGCAAAGAAUAUUGCGUGAUUGAUGCCUCCGUCUCUCUGAUUUAUGGUUAUGGUUCUCCUGAACCUACUCCCUACGGCAAGGCAGAAGACUGCCAGAAAGAAGAAAGCCUAGGAGAAGACAACUCCCAGAAAGUUUGAAAGUGGAAUCAAAUAACUAAGAACGAAGAUUUGUUGGGAAGGAAAGCCGUCAUAAGUACUUUCGUCUUAUUUUUAGUCCUCUUUCAUUGAUCUAUUUUGAUGCCAAGAAGAAACUUCAGGAUUACUAUCAAUGAACAAGGGAAGCACUACGCGGAAGUUUCAGUUCCUCAGUCGGAAUAUGGACCUCGCAUAUUGAAUUGCGCCUUCUCUCCUUUCAGUCGAGCCCUCAGUCCUAUCCAUUAGACUGCACCUCGCAAUAUUCUUUGCGCCUGCGCCUGGACCUUUCUUUGACUAGAAACUGAAAGUAGGCUUUCUUCUAAUAGUAGAAUAAGAGGAUAUUUUCAGAGAAGAGAUAAUCAAGAUAAAUAGCUAAGGAUAUUCUUUCUUCCCGUGUAGUGGGCUUACGGAGUGGGUCGCAAAGUGAAUUUCUAGGCGAAGGCUGAAUGAAUUGAGUUGCGGCUAUUACUUUAUUUGGAGCGAAGGUGCAAAGAAUAUUGCGUGGAUGGAUAGGUGCAAAGAAUAUUGCGAGGCUCAAAGAAUCCCACGGAGCGGGAUAGUCCUCCGGACUGUUAAGGCUCAAUGCAAUAUGAGUGAUUCCUAUUCCCGCCUUCUACGCCAUAAAUCAGUCGGAAUAUAGAGGGCUCUAUCCAAGGAAAGCCUAGGGCUCGGUCAAAGCAACGAGAUCUUUUUCUAGUUAGACUUCUAUCAAUGCAAUGAAAGAACCAUCCCUUCCUAUUUUUGAGUCCUGUCAGAUAGAAAGAAAAUGAGACCCCAAAGAGCCCUUCUUUACCACUUUAGCGGGUGGGGGUGAAGGGGGGGUUUACAUACAACCGAGGCAAAGUGGUUUAUGAUUGAAUCUCAGAGGCAUUCUUAUCAUUUGGUAGAUCCAAGUCCAUGGCCUAUUUCGGGUUCACUCGGAGCUUUGGCAACCACCGUAGGAGGUGUGAUGUACAUGCACUCAUUUCAAGGGGGUGCAAGACUUCUCAGUUUGGGCCUCAUAUUUCUCCUAUAUACCAUGUUCGUAUGGUGGCGCGAUGUUCUACGUGAAUCCACGUUGGAAGGACAUCAUACCAAAGUCGUACAAUUAGGACUUCGAUAUGGUUUUAUUCUCUUUAUCGUAUCGGAGGUUAUGUUCCUUUUUGCUUUUUUUCGGGCUUCUUCUCAUUCUUCUUUGGCACCUACGGUAGAGAUCGGAGGUAUUUGGCCCCCAAAAGGGAUUGGGGUUUUAGAUCCUCGGGAAAUCCCUUUUCUUAAUACCCCUAUUCUCCUUUCAUCCGGAGCAGCCGUAACUUGGGCUCAUCAUGCUAUACUCGCGGGGAAGGAAAAACGAGCUGUUUACGCUUUAGUAGCUACCGUUUCACUGGCUCUAGUAUUCACAGGCUUUCAAGGAAUGGAAUAUUAUCAAGCACCCUUCACUAUUUCGGAUAGUAUUUAUGGUUCUACCUUUUUCUUAGCAACUGGCUUUCAUGGUUUUCAUGUGAUUAUAGGUACUCUUUUCUUGAUCGUAUGUGGUAUUCGCCAAUAUCUUGGUCAUCUGACCAAGGAGCAUCACGUUGGCUUUGAAGCAGCUGCAUGGUACUGGCAUUUUGUAGACGUGGUUCGGUUAUUCCUAUUUGUCUCUAUCUAUUGGUGGGGAGGUAUAUGAAAGAACGAAAGAGUGGAUUGAGGAAUUCAAGCUCGAAGACAAAGAGAACCGGGCUUUUCCAAAGAAUUACAGCAGCUUUCCCACUCCCUCUCAUUAUUAUAUACCACAAGGUCUCUUCCACUUUCCUACCAAAUCUCUCUUUAUUCUGGCACAUAAAUUCAGGGAUCGAAGAGAUUAUGGCAGAUCAUGUUCACCAAGAAAUGACCCGAAAUUGGAUCUUGGUCUAUUUGAGAUUCUUCCUUUUCAUCUCCAUCAAAGAUCUUUUCUUGUCUCUCAUUUCUUUUCCGAAUCAAUCGAAGAACCUAAUGGACUCAUCCUUGCCUGCUAUGAAAGAUAUCGGCCUUGCGGAAGGAAGGAAGUGAAUUUUGAGUUUCAGUUUUGUGUAUAAAGGUUUGAAACUCGAUCUCCCUCCCCUGAUUUAUGGAUGUUCCUACCAAGAACAUCGAUCAGUCUAGGCUUUCCUCUUUAUAGUACUCCGAAGGCUCCGUCGGACCCCUUAUUCAUUUCCUCCUAUCGAGCCUUUGUCCUCUUAUUCCUUGAAUCUGAUCUUCCUUAUUCAUUCGUCUUCAUAUUCUGGAGCUAAGACCCUUCCAAUGCUCCCUUUCGCCAUGCAUAAACUGCACCGCUCUAAGAAUUUCUCUAAAUAGAGAACGGAUACGCCCAUAAGGAAUGCUCAUUGCCCAAAAGACCUUUUCGACAUCAAAAUGUAAUGUAAUGAGAGUGUGGAUUCUCAAUUGUAACCUCCCAUUGCUCGAGAUCCGAUAGCAUGCAGCAACUAGUUGUAAGAAAGAGGGGGGAGUAUCAAGAGAUAUUUCAAGUGUGCAGUGAGGAGUAAUAGGUAGCCAUACUUAACUCGGCCCAAGCAAUGCCCAUCCCAUGCCUUUCUUGGUUGGACCAACCCAACCGGCGAUUUCCGUCUUCCUUCAUUGGGAGAGCAAGAACAAGUCUCUCUUUUUUUGGGGGGGGGAGCAGAGCAGUCAAAGAAUAAACCAAAGAAAAUGAUUGUUCUCAAAUGGCUAUUCCUCACAAUUGCUCCUUGUGAUGCAGCGGAACCAUGGCAAUUAGGAUCUCAAGACGCAGCAACACCUAUGAUGCAAGGAAUAAUAGACUUACAUCACGAUAUCUUUUUCUUCCUCAUUCUGAUUUUUGUUUUCGUAUCACGGAUCUUGGUUCGCGCUUUAUGGCAUUUCCACUAUUCUCAAAAGAAAAUACCGCAAAGGAUUGUUCAUGGAACUACUAUCGAGAUUCUUUGGACCAUUUUUCCUAGUAUCAUUCCGAUGUUCAUUGCUAUACCAUCCUUUGCUCUCUUAUACUCAAUGGACGAGGUAGUAGUAGAUCCAGCCAUGACUAUCAAAGCUAUUGGACAUCAAUGGUAUCGGACUUAUGAGUAUUCUGACUAUAACAGUUCCGAUGAACAGUCACUCACUUUUGACAGUUAUACGAUUCCAGAAGAUGAUCUAGAAUUGGGUCAAUCACGUUUAUUAGAAGUGGACAAUAGAGUGGUUCUACCAGCCAAAACUCAUCUACGUAUUAUUGUAACACCUGCUGAUGUACCUCAUAGUUGGGCUGUACCUUCCUCAGGUGUCAAAUGUGAUGCUGUACCUGGUCGUUUAAAUCAGAUCUCCAUUUUGGUACAACGAGAAGGAGUUUACUAUGGUCAGUGCAGUGAGAUUUGUGGAACUAAUCAUGCCUUUACGCCUAUCGUCGUAGAAGCAGUUCCUAGGAAAGAUUAUGGUUCUCGGGUAUCCAAUCAAUUAAUCCCUCAAAGCGGGGAAGCUUAAGUGGAAAUGAAAGACAUAAUAUCUCAGUGAGGGAAAAGGAGGGAGACCACUCAAUUUCAGGCUGAACUCGCUCGCUCUAACGCUUCUUUAGUAGACAAGGAGUUCCGUGCAUAAGCCCCUUUAGAGAGAGGGGGGAGUCCUACACGAACUCGUAAGUCAAGUACUAGACGAGCCUUGUCUACGAAGCAGAGCGCCCUCGUCUUGCUUUUGGCGAAGCUUAACGAACUAGAUAAUAGGCAUUUUUUUAUGGUAGGAAGACUACUUUUUAGGCCGACCACAAUACAAGUCAUGAGCGAUAGCGAAGCCAAGCCGUAUAAAGGCGAGCAGCCCUUAUAGCAAUAGCAAACGGCCUACUUAUAGCCCGCCCGCCCUCGCCUAUUUUUUGGACGCUAUCAGUCCGAAGGACUUAUCCAUAUUAACCUGACUCACCGAAGGCGCAAAGAAUAUUGCGAGACGAAGGACUCGGUAAAAUCGCAAUAUUCUUUGUCAAUCAAAUUCUUUGAUCCUUGCGACUGAGUAGGCGAGUGUCCAGGUGGUCAAAGCCCUCAAUAAUAAGGGAUAGCUCUGACUUUGAAAACCACUUUUCACCUUGCUCCCCUAUCCUUCUCCUCCGGAGGGGUCUUACAAGCUCAUAAAAUGGCAAUUCUUCACCGCCUCAAUGAAUCCACAGGUCGCAAUAUUCUUUGCGCCGCUCCGUGGGCAAUGAUCUUUGCUCCGGUCAAAAUCAAUAUAUAUGAUUCAUAGUCAAGAGGUGCAAAGUUCGGUUAAUUACGGAAAGUCCUCCGGACUCCUUCGGUUAAUUACGGAUAGUCCUACUUCUGUUAAUUACGGAUGGUCCUACUUCUAAUGGAUAGUCCUACUUCUAAUGGAUAGUCCUCCGGAUAAAUCCUGCGGACGUAGGACUCCGGACGUAGGAUAAAUCCUGCGGACGUAGGACGUAGGACUACUUCCUUCCAUAUGGAUGGUCCUACGGAUAAAUCACCUGGACCUUUCUUUGGCCCUGCGGACGUAGGACUGCGGACUGCGGACUCCGGACCCUGGACCUUUCUUUGAUGGUCCGAAGGCGCAAUUCAAUAUGCGAGUACGCGGGAAUGAAUUCUAUUACUUUCUUUUCAUUGAUAGAUAUGUGUACCACACCGAAGAAGCAAGAUGCCGAUAUGCUUGAUGUACCAAUCAAGCCCAGGAAGGAGGAGCAAAGAAUAUUGCGAGGCGAAGGACCACCAUGCCGAGAUUCGCGGCAAAGAGAGCGAUCAAUGAAUAAGGAUAGGGGAGGCCCUAACCGAGAAAGGAUCCACGGCGGGGAAACCAGAGUCAGCGAGAAAGAAUGAAUAAGUCACAAUCUACCUAGGAAAGAUAACAAGGACAUCGAGAGAGCUAUCUAAUGAAACCAUUUCUCUCUUCACUCCGCUAUGCUUUGUUCACUCUCUUCGUUUAAGCGAGUCAACUUCUAUAAAUCACUACUGAUAGUAGAUUCAGUGCUACUUGUCGAACUCUCAACAUAUGUCUAUCAAAUUUCUUUGUGUUCAGUGUACCGCUAUCAAUUCUUUUCCUGUCCCGUACCGCUACGCUACAACGUAGUCAACUAGAUUUGAGAACAGCGCCUGAACUGAACUACUACUGGCUUAGCUGCCUAGCUACUAAUAACUUGGCACCCGUCCUGCCAAUAUAGUAUAAAGAGUAGUGGUAGGAUUCCACUCAGGGCACACUUGUUAGCUACAGUUCCCAUCUGUCUUGUAAAGAACUAGAACUGCGCCCGCAGUUACGGGACUAGCUCCCCUGGCCAAACUCUUGCUCCUCAGAUUCACAGACUGAAGGUGCAAAGAAUAUUGCGUUGCGUUAGCUACUUACUUCUAUUAGAGUCAGACAAGGCCUUGACUCUCUGCCUUCCUAUAUCAUACUUGGGAACUACUAGAUCUAAGUCCGAAAUAUCGACCUUGGUUCAACUCCUAGCUCGAAAGGCUGCCAACUCCUUACUGAUAUUGUUUGGGGUUAGGGUAGUUUACUUGCAGGCUGAUAAGUCAGGUAGCGAAGCCUAAGAUUAGAUGACUAGUUUGUUUCACUUCAGUUCCCCGCCGUCGUCCCCUAUCUUAAAGCAUGGAAAGGUAUCCAGAAAGCACAGUAACAGCUAUGAGAUAGGCGGCCCUCUCACCUAAUACCCGCUACUAAGGAUUGAAAGUAGCACAAUCGGCUAUAGAACUCCAGAUCUACGAAUAGCCGCGGGCAAGCACCAAAGAGAGGCUAGCUUCCACCUUUCUUAACAGCAAGGCGCGAAAGCCUGAGCCUUUCCUAUAGCUUCUACUUAGACUUAGCAACCCAAAUAAAGGUUUUGAUUCCUUAGCUGUCGAGCUACUCAAGCUAGUAAGCUAGUAUACACGCAUUUGCCCGAUUGCUUUAAGAGAAGCUUGACCUCCACCUGUCCUGUCCAAAACUAUGGAACUCAUCUUCAAAGUAGAUUUUCUAGAUCAGAACGUUCACUCUGAGAAUAGGGGUAUAAAAGUGAACCACCUAGAAUCGAUCCAUGACCGCUAAACAAAAGGAGUCCUUUACCACUAGGCAACCGUCUUUACCCGCCUCAACCGAUCGAGGCUCGGACAUGCCAACAGCCAAUACUGACUCCUUUCCCUGGGACAGCUAAAAAAAACUAAUACGGCUCGGUAAUAGGUUUCAUAGUCAUCUGGACCAUUAACACUUUUUAUUGGACUGACGAAAUUCACAGCAGAUAGACAGAAGUUAUGACAACCACAGCCACAAGCCUUCUUUCGUCAAGGCUUUUGAGGCUCCUCAGGCUUUCAAGCGAAUAGACUUGGAGGGCCGAACCUGGCCUCUUUUCCUAAGUCGAAGUGAGAAAGGUUCUAUAGAGAGAUCGCCGAAUUCACCUUCUGAAUGGAGAUGAAAAAGGAAAGGAAACAAUUCCCCUUGCGUUGAGGAUAGAUCUGCUCUUACGCUUGCUUUCGUAGACCUACUGCUAAUAGGAGAAGCGGGAUAAGUAGGACAGGGAGAUGUAGGGCACCGUCCACUGAUAGAGUUGCUUGAGCUCUUGGAGCUAGUAUGAGCAUCUUCAUCUUGCUAGCGAGCCAGUCCAGGCUGAGAAAUUUGGGCCCCCACUCCCGUCCCGGGGCGUUAAGGCUCAUCGCUAUAAGGAAGAACUUUCCAAUCAAGGUUCAAAGAAUAGCUCCGUCUUCCUUAACUCGAUAGAGAUGGCCUGCUUUAUUUGAACUUCCUACUAUAUAAGGCAUCCCCCCAGACCUAAAUGGCUAUACCUAUAUCCGACCUUCUAACCACUGAAAGUAGCGGUCCGAAGCCUGAAUUAUCUCAGAUUUUCGGUUCAUCUUUAACGCCACUUUUCUAAGCUCCGAAGGAGGAGUCCUCACCCAUUUAUUUCGGAAGAAAAGAAAGUUCAAGUGUAGGCUUUCUCCAAACCUAAAAACGGCUAAUAGAUAAGACGACUUUCGCCUAUUUUUUGGUCCUCGAUAAUUCUUUCUUUUCAAAUAUGAUUCAUAGUGAAAUAGUGGUCCUAAGCCCACGGAGCGGGAAGAAAGAAUAUCCUUAGUAGUCGCAAAGUUCAUUUCUAGGCGAAGGAGAAGGCCUAUCCAUUAGAGAAUUUGACUUGCGACGGAGGCGCAAUGAAAUAUGCGUUGACAAGACUGCCCACUCCGUUUUAGAGUCCUUCCUUCCAUAUGGAUGGUCCUACUUCGGUUAAUUACGGAUGGUCCUACGGAUAAAUCCUCCGGACUACUUCCCUCCAUAUGGAUGGUCCUACUUCCAUAUGGAUAGUCCUACGGAUAAGAAUCCUCCGGACUCCGGACUACGGAUAAAUCCUGCGGACUCCGGACCCUGGACCUUUCUUUGGCACUGCGGACUCCGGACCCUGGACCUUUCUUUGAUGGUGCAAAGAAUAUUGCGAAGGCGCAAUUCAAUAUGCGAGGUCCAUAUUCCGACUGAGGAACUUGAACUGGCAUCAAAAUAGAUCAAUGAAUGAGUAGGCCUCAUUGACUUCUUCAUUGAUUUUCUUCCCGGUCAUACCUCGGCCUCUUUACCCGGAGUUUCACUAAGGCAUAUACCCCCUCGGAGCAGUGGGGAACUUUAUAGGCGUCUUAGCAUCAAAAGCAUCUUUUUCAAGUCAAUUACAUCGACCGUCAAGCAGAGGUACUCUUAGUUCAGAGAGUCGACUUGGCAUGCUUGAAGUUCAGUUACUCGCCUCUAAAGAUCUUCCGAAGAAAGUUUGAUUGCCCACCAUUUCUGAAACCCCCUCUUCUCGGGCCAAUAGUUCUUUCUGAGAAUUAGACCAAUUUACAUGAGUUUAGAUGCCGCCUAUAAAAAAAGGUAAGAGCCUUGACUCUUUCCACAGCCAGAAAGCCCAAGCCUUUCUCAGCCGCUUAGCGCUGUGACAAAGACAGAUGUGAAAAUCGAAGACUGAGACUGGAUCCCUAAAGACCUCAAUCAAUAGCGUCCGUGAAGUGAGUGAUCUUCGGUCUAGCCCCUUCUCUGAAUGAAUAGGUUAUCGAUCCUGAACUUCAUCGGUCAAGUCGAUUUUAAUUAAGAGAGAGUCGGCAUCAUUACUUUUUCCGUGAGAAGAUCAGUCUUUAUGUUAUGAUCUAUUCUCGCCCUUAAUAAGGGAACUAACUCGUACUUGCCUUCAACGAUUACAGUUUCUUUGUCAGGUGCUCUAGUGUACCGAAGAGGUGGAGUCUUCCCAUCAUGUCUUUGAGUAUAAGAGUCCCACUCCGCGGUGAUCAUCACUACUCUUUUCAAGCAAGAAGAUAAAGGUAGAAAUCCGACCGCCUUUCAAUGACGGAAUAAAGAGAAGGCGAUACCUACUACAUGAUCAAUGCGAGAAGGCCCAGUCGGAGAGGUCGUCAUCCUAUUCCUAUCUACAUUGGUCGUAUUCGUCCAGUGAAAGAGGGAAUUCCCUAUCUUAUCUGGGAAGGGAAAAAGCAAGUCUGAUCCCAGCCAGCAAGGCAUCCUUAUCUUGGGAGGACUCUCUUAUGGAACUGAAAGUUGCAGACGGAGGCGCAAAGAAUAGAAUAUUGCGGGAACUGAAACUUGGCAUCAAAAUAGAUCAAUGAAUGAGUCUUUCUCUUUCUGGGAGUCUUCCUCUUCCUCUUUACCUUUGCCUUUUUCUUCCUCUCCUUUAGCUUCCCUUCUAGCCAAAUAGUAGGUUUUUAUGCCUGAUGAUUGAAAAGACUGAAAUUCACAUCCAUAAAUAAAUAGGGAGCUUGACUCUGUUUCCGAAGAGUCUGCGAUAGCGAAAGGACUUAAUAGGCGAGAUGAAACCCACGGAGCGGAGACUGAGUUGUAGCAGUUGAGUCUUAAUAGGUAGGAGUGCAAGGCUGAAUCUAAUUUCACUCAAAGAAAGAAGGCAGAUUCAGAGAAAAAGGAAGAAUCAGUCCUCAUUCUAUGUGCCCGUAGUGAGAAAGGGAAGAAGGAGAGGAGCGAAAGCGGCUCGACUGUAAGGAGAGGAGAGGCAUCAAAAUGCAAUUCCCGACCGAACUUUCUCGUAGCAAUCUAAGUUGGCUCCCGGAAAUCCAACCUUUCUAUAAUCUCUGACAUGUUCGUAUCUUAGUUGGCGAUAUAAGGACAAGUCCACCCCCUUAUAGGAUUAGGGCUUUGUGAAGGUGCGGGUUUUCACUAUUCCCAACGGCCUUAAACAGGCUUUAUUGCGGCCUGCUCUGGUCUAUGGAAGAAGCUCAUCGGGACUUUAGAUCUGCCAUUUUUGAGUUAGGCGGAGUAGAAAACUUGCUUUUUGAUUCUAUUAUGAGCAAUGGCCUGCUUUCUUUCUGGUCUUGUGCCAGUUGAUGUGGCAGGGACGAAGCGAAGUGGAAAAGUAAUGGGCUAAUAGAAGGGAAGGUACGGUUAGGGACGGGACAGAUGGAAGCUGAGGCAGAUAUUGCAUCCUUUGCUUUGCCUUCUUUAAGAAUUCGUAGAAGCCUGUCAUCGGUAAAUCCCUCUUCCAUAGCAUCUUCAUUCUCGACGUCUUCUUUGGUAAAGAAAGGGGAUGUUUACCCAGGCGCCGUAGUCUUGCCUAAGAAUAUCGCUCUGUUCACUCCCAGCUGAAAUUCAAGCCAUCUUCAUGAAAAUGAAAAGAGACAGAGUUCUCAAGAAGCUCUCCCUUUCAUUCCAAAGCUCCGGUCAUGGAAAAAAAAGCUGUCAGUAGCCGGUUUAUCUUAAUAAAAACCGAUAGCGUACAAGUUCAAAGAGAGAGACCUCGAAAAAAGAAGAACUAAAGUAAAGGAGGCGCAAUUCAAUAUGCGUUGACAAGGCUCCUUUUUCCUUUUCUGCUCUCAUUUCAUCAAGUUCUACUUGGGGGGUUUUAUGGAUUUUCUUCGAAUUGCUGUCUUGCAGAAGACGCUAAGGGCUUAUGACUUGCUGCUUAAGGAGCUAAGUUUCCUAAAUAUGAAAGAUGAUGAGUCUAAGCUCCAUAAAAGAGGUAGGUUUGUCUAGCCCGCACCUUGCCCCUCGGCUUUCAAGGAUUAGAUAGAGGUGAUAAUAUCUCGACCCACGUAGCGGUGUAGAAGGAGAGGCUCAAUGCAAUAUGAGUUGCGAGACAGGUCCGAAGGACUAUCCACUAGGGAAUAAAGCGAGAGGAUAGAAGUGCUUCGAUCAUUCUUUGCCGCAAUAUUCUUUGUCACGCAAACAAUAUCCCUCAAUGUGGAAGGCAAUAUUCUUUGCGCCUCUGGACUGAUUUAUGGAACUCAAUCUUUCUGGGAGUCUGAAUGGCUAAGACGAUAAGGGAAGAAAAUCAAUGACCCACGGAGCGCGGAGGACGAGUCUCGCAAUAUUCUUUGCACCUGGGUAAGAAAAGAGAUGGAGCGCUAGAAUGGAAGAACUGAUCUUCUUCCUCCUCCUACACUGGGACUGAGCCCCGAACCCUCUCUCUUCCUCUAUAUAGGGGAAGGACUAGUCUGUAAAAUGCUAUUUUUCAUCGAUCAAUAUCCGAAGUAUUAGGCUCCAUAAGACAGGGAUAUUGUAAGAAGUAUGAAUAGCUAUUACUUUUCAGACAAAGUCGGACCUACAAGAUCCAGUCAAUUAAUACGGAGUGGGCUUGCUUUGGGCCUCAGUAGCUUAAUAUUCAGAUCCCCAUAUUCAUUAGGCGAAGGACUUCUUUAUCCAUUGAAUUUAGCCGACUCCCAUAAAUAAAGACAUAAUAUCGUCAGUCUUAUUCCCUUCUUUGAACCUCUUUUCUAGAUCGAGCUAUUUCUUGCCAGUCGCUUCUCAAAGAGCAAAAUCUCAAAUUCGCAAGUCAAAUUCUCUAAUGGAUAGGCCUUUGUUUUUCUAUGCGUCCUUUGCCUUUGGUUUGCGCUCUUAUAUUCACCUUUUAUUUGCCGCCUUGAUUCUCUUCUUUCUAAUGGAUAGUCCUUCGCAAAUUCUUUGCGCCUAACUCCGGCGCAUAUUGCGUGGGAAUUUUGCGUGAGAAUUUGAGAAAGAAUGAUCGUCAGCCCUUCGUUAAUUACGGAAAGUCCUACUUCGGUUAAUUACGGAUAGUCCUACUUCCAUAUGGAUAGUCCUACGGAUAAGAAUCCUCCGGACUCCGGACCCUGGACCUUUCUUUGAUGGCGCAAAGAAUUUGCGAAAGGAGUCUUAUUCCACUAAAAAACGAUAGAGGAGGGGUCGGAUCGGGGGAAUCCGUGGGGGUUGCGGUGGCAGCUGAAAAGGAAUCAAUCGUCCCAGGAGCAGUCGCGGAGGCGGAAAUGCUCUACUCCCACGGAGCGCUAGCCCUUGGCUGAUCAGUCAUCGGAUAAAUUCCCAAAACCCACGUAGCGGUAAUUACAGAAGUCAAUUCUCAUUAUUUCUUCCGUAUAGAAAAAACCUGAGAAGUUCACCCUUUCUACCAUCCCAUCCCGACUUCCUUCUUUGUGCAUUCAUGGGUGAGGCAUUCGGCUUUUGAAUCUGGAAUCAUUUCUCAUUCGCAGUCUGAUGAAAAGAAAGAAAUGAGGACCUCUACCUCUACUCCUUUUCCUGCCAUAAAAGAUAGGGGUAGGUAGGUCAAUUCGACCCCAGCCCCGCAGCUUUCAGGUCCUUGGUGCUCGAACCAGGCGGGCAACUUACUCUUUUUCUGUGGAUACUUCCGAACAUUAUAAGGAAAACGGAGCGGUGGAAUAAAGAGGUCAAAAGGACGGGAGCGUGAAUACGGAUGAAAUGGGACGUAAGAAGUCGAGCGAGUGACGGGGAAAUGGGACAUCAAUCUUGAGAAGAACCUCUAGGUCAAGGACAGCACUGGGCCGCACCGCCUCAAUGAACAAAGGGAAGAGUGCCGAUCCCGGAGUAGGAGUCUGAAAGAAGGCUUGGCCUGAGUGAAUUCUUCAUUCUCUCUUUCUCUUCGAGGAAGAAAUCUCUUGAUUUUAUUAUCCCACCGUCUGUAGCGUAGUGGGGAAAGUUCUCAGUCUCCGUUGAUACUCUGCCAGACCUUUACCGGCCGACUACAAGGCUGAAUAUGGCAAUUAUAAGGGGUCCAGAUGGUCAAAGCCCUCAAUAAUAAGGGAUAGCUCUGACUUUGAAAACAAAGAAGGACUAUUCCUCAAAUUCUUUGAGCCUAAAGAUGAACGGAAAAUCUUCUAAUGGAUAGGACUGAGGCGCAAUGAAAUAUGCCUUGAUUGAGAGCUUGAUUUUUCUUGUGUCUUUGUUUUGGAUGAGAAAUCUCUCAAAUACUUUGAGCCUUGGAAUGAGCAUUUCAGAGCUUACCGAUCAGACCCUACUACUGAUCCGAGUUGGCUACUACUUCCUUUUCUUCAACAAGGGAUGAGAUGAGGCUUAUCUUAUUCGAACUUCAAGUAGGUACUUCUGGAUCUUCCAAGUAUGCCUAUUUCCUGAGAGUGAGCUUGCGCAAGUAAUCCCCCUUUUUCUUACUCUCAGAACCCCAAAUCUUUUCGUACUUCCCCCUGAGGUCCCAGCUCCAACUCUUCUUCUCGCUUUAGGAAUUCAAAUUCUUCUUGAAUGAUCUCUUUCGUAAAGCUAUUUUUCUAUGGUAAAUUCACUCUUUAGCCGAUGACGCGGGAGAACACGGGUUCACUGGGGUGGAUAGAAUACGACCCGAGCGUCGGACCGAGACAGGAGGACCCAUUACCAGUUGAGGAAUUCAGUCGAGAUCGAGACCGUGCGGAGCCUUCCACUGGGACGUUCUCCUUUGUUUACGUGAAAACCUUUCCAGAUGAGCAUACGACCCAACUUCCCCGUAUGAGGAGGACUUGGUCCGUCCCUUUCUUCUUAGUAGUACUUUGACUUCUUCCCCGCGUAGAGGAGGAGCGAGCUCCCUCCCUUUCCUGGGAUUUAGAUGAAAGCAUCCCAAUGAGAGAAUAGAUUAUUCAACCCUACAGCGUCUGGGACAAGAAGGCGAACUACUUCUUUCUCUCUCUCUCUCCUUUCCUGAAGAUGAAAUAAGAUUCUGAUAAUAUAAGUCGAAAGGGAAAGAGAUCAUUCAAGAUCGAAUGAAAGAAGAUAAGUGAAUAAAGCUCUUUCUCUUGUUCCGCUCCUUACUUCUUCUUCUUUUUCAUACUCUUUUCAAUCAUAAGGCUGCCUCUUUCUCCUGAACUCCGUCUCCUAGGCUUUCUCUUUCUUUCUCUAUUUCGAAGAAUCUUUUCAAUCAUCAAAAUCAAAAGGCUGAACAUUGAGGUCUUCGCCCUUUAGGCAGUUCGCCCAGCACAGCAGUCGCAGCUCUUUCUCUUUCAAGAAGUUUGAGACUGAGAUUCUGAACGAGUAGGAUGAAAUAGCAGGCACAAAGGCCCCACCAAGAAGAAAGUCCUCCCCUUCUUAUGGUGGCUCUAGCAAAUAGUCAGCGAAGAAGCUUCCAAAUAGUAAGCUGUCGAGUAAGAGGGAGUCGAAAAGAAGCGCGAACUCCAGUGAUUAGGGUAGAGUCUCAUCCCCCCAUAAUCAAGUAGCGUCCACUAAAAAGGAGCGGAGCGCGGAAGGACGAGGCGCAAUGAAAUAUGCGAGGAUGAGGCAUCAUCGUAUAAGAGGGAGCAAAGGAUCUCCGUGAAGCUGCUCGAGGAGAGGAAUGAAAUGGCGAGACUGAAAGGAGAGGCAUCCCUUUCUCUUGCACCAGUGGUUGUCCCAGUUCUUCUUUAAGCUGUAGCCGGCUGUGGUUCUUCCGGUUGAGGAAGUAGCUCUCGCUCUUCCAGUCUCGGAUAUUAUUCUAUUUUCAUAUUGUAUAUUCAAAAAUAUUCCCAAUUAGAGUAGAUUGGGUGCAGCGAUCCCGGGAAUGAGUCGGACUAGCCUACAUAAAGCGCUUUUCUCACUAUAUAUGUCUCGACUCUUUUGUAUCGCUUAUUCAGGAGACUGAGUCAGAAAGGGAAGAAGCAGAGAAAGAUCAAGCUUUCCCGAUAGGGGAGAGUAGUUAUGAUCCGGGGUCUUUCCUUAAAAAGGUAUUCUAGAAUAAGAGUUUGUUAGCAUCUCUCCAUUCUCAUUGUCUGAGUAUGAUAAGUUUCUCUUUCAUGAGAAGGAGACUGAGAAGGCUUCGGGUCUGUCUUUCGCCUCUUUAGAUAUUAUGUCAACUUCUCUUCUGCUUUUCGCACCGAUAAGUCAAGUCCUCUCUCUCCCCUCUUACUCAACUUCGUAAACCUAGUCUCUAUGCACUUGCACUCCUUCGCAAUAUUCUUUGCGCCUCAUCAUCAAAAGAGAAAGUGCUCUCGCAAUAUUCUUUGCGCCUCCAGGACGUCCUCUGGACUAUCAACCUAUUACUUUGAACUUUUAUCCCUCUCAUAACAUAAAUAGUGGGACUUAUCCAGCCUGAGGAGGGCAGAAUCAAGGCUCCAUAAGACAGGGAUAUUGUAUGAGUUCUAUACAAAAAAUAGGCGAAGAAGAAUUGCGAGGUCCGUAAAUCAUCUGAGAAUCCCGGUAAUUUUGGGGGAGGUGAAAAGAAGAAAAGAGUCCAAUAAGAGACCGCGGCUUGGGAACUCAUUCCCGAAGAUAAGCAAGAACUUCUCCUCCUCCUCCAAGACUGAAAUUCCAAGAGCCACUUCUCCCUCUUCUGAUGACGCAUACCACCGGUGUCUCGAUUUCUUUGAUGAGUGGAAGGACGACAGGUUAAGCUUGAUAAAGAAGUCAUCUGGACCGCUCCAACUAACCUCUGCGGUCAGUCCUUCGGACCAGCUGACUAUCCCUAAAAUAGUAAGGAGUCUUAUGGCGCUCGUCUUGAGCCUGAAUUAUCGAAAAGACUUCUGCAGAGAGCCAAGAAUUUGCGAGCAGCAUAAGGAAUAAGGAGUCGAUCAAAUUAAGGCUUCGGACCGCGGAAGGACGAGUCUGAUUCCAAAAAAGACUUCUGCAGACGUUAGGAUCAAUGAAAUUUGAGAGAGGCGCAAAGAAUAUUGCUCAGGCUCGCCUAAAUUUGAAGUGGAAGGCAAUAUAAUUCAGGCUGAGGAUCAAAGAACAAGAGCGGGAAGAACUGGAUAUUGUAGGAGUUGACGGCUCGACUGUAAGGCUAAAUGUGGGGCGCAGUUGCGCAAUAUUGCGAGAAGUCUUUAUAUAUUGAUUAGCCUACUUUUCUGGAUUGGGACAUGAAUAAAUUAGAAUCCAAGGAUUGAUCGAACCUCGACGCAAAUUCUUUGCGCUAGUGCGAAUGAAAAAAAAUUCAGGCUAUAGGCGAGAUAGAAAAAUGACCCAGGGCGCGCCUUCUUCAAUGAAACUGGGUGGGGACCCGCGUGAGCCUAAUGCUCUUUAUUGGGCCGAUUCCCCGCUUGGAUCAGACAAGGGCGGGGGUAGAAGUUUGACCUUUGGAUCCGCAGUCAAGGAUCCCUCUUUCUAAAAGUAUGUCAAGAGCAUACUUGAGCUGAGAAAGAGAGAGACCAUGCGAUGAUUGAUCUACUGAAAUGCCAAGCCUUAUCUCAGUCUCCAGAACUCCACAGGAAAAUAGCAAGACGGGGGUUAGAAUUACCCAGUUCAUAUCCACUCCUUGCUAAGAGUUUAGUCUUCUUUCUCCCCGCAAGCCCGUUGAAUCAUGACUUCCUUAAUGCCUUUAUACCCUCGUAUGAGAAAAAAAACCUAGCCUGAAAGUGAGAGAUGGAAUUCAUUCUAUAUAUUCUUUGCACCUUCGCAAUAUUCUUUGCGCCUUUCUUUUAUCCAGCGGAGCCUUUCAACAAGCACUUGAUCCCGUAUUUAUCCUACGCGUAGCGGUGAAAGCUCAAAUUGCAUUGAGCCUGUGAAAAGUCAAGAAAAAAAGAAAAGAAUAAUUAACUCAUUAACGAUAAUGAAAGAAGCUCAAAACAAAAUGAAUCUGCUAGAUUUCAGAUUAAUCUGCUAGAUUUCAGACUAGUCCUUCGCGGAGGGAAAUACAAGAAAAUGCUAGGUUUUGGGCCUAUAAAGUAGCAAGAAAUCAUGAAAAAUCCGUCAAAAUUAGACAAUUAUCGUUAGAUAUAUAUAUGAGAAAAAGUCCUAUUUAGAAGCAAAAAAGCCGGGAAAACGCAAUGAAAGAAGAACUCCUAGGACAGGUAAAAUCAAUGAACAGAGUUUGAUUAUGGUUUCUGGUCCGGAGAAAUACGGGUCUAUUCUGGAUUUCCCUCCAGGUUAUGGGUGAUUCAAUCAUAAUGAUUCUUUCAUUCGAGUUAAUGAGCUUCUUUCUUUGCGCCUGCGCCUGGACCAAAGGUUAAUAUGGAUGGAUAGUCCUACUUCCUUCCAUAUGGAUGGUCCUACUUCGGUUAAUUACGGAUGGUCCUACGGAUAAAUCACCUGGACCUUUCUUUGGCCCUGCGGACUGCGGACGUAGGACUACUUCGGUUAAUUACGGAUGGUCCUACGGAUAAAUCACCUGGACCUUUCUUUGGCCCUGCGGACUGCGGACCCUGGACCUUUCUUUGGCACUCCGGACUGGAUCUUGUAGGUCAUUCUGACCCGAAAAGAAAAGUAGUGCUUUGAAAGGUAGGGAAGGUUACCCCACGUAGCGGUAAGGGCGCAGCAAAGGUUCUUUCCGGAGAUGGCCCUUUAUUCUGGCCCACGGAGCGGUUGUGCAUGAAGCAAGAGAUCUUGGAAGUAGCUUUCUUGCAAAGCGAUUAUGAGAAAUUCAUAAUGAGGUCUUGACUUUCAAGAGUCUUAAAGGUAACUUCAUAAAGAGUGCUCUUUCAGUUGACUCUUUCUGUCUAUAAAGCUCUUCUUCUUAUUAGUUUCGCGGGAGAGAGAGGAUGAGGGGUGCCCGAGGAAGAAAUGCUAUCCCAAAGGGCAGAGUACGUUGAUGUCCCCGUUCUUGUUUAAGAGGUGGCCUCAUCCGUUGAUCAGUAGGGCAUUUCUUUCCUUAGAUCUCUUUCGUAAGACCUCAUGAAAGGAUUAUUUAUUCAUUGUCGUCUGAUCGAAAGAUGUCAAUGUGCUUGCCCAUUUUAUGAAGAAAUACACCAGCCUCAGAUCUCGCCCAUGGAUUGAUGAAAGCCAAAAGGCCCUUUAUUGUAUUGUACAUCUUUCACGCAAGGAGACGUAAGAAGUCGACCGCCUACUCAUUUGGAAGAAGAAGAAAGACAAAAGAAGAAUGAGUCCUCCGGAAGGAAGGCUCGACCGUCGGAGGGAAGAGGGCUGCCAGAGAUGAGUAUGAGUCAUCCCUUGCUUUAGUUGAAAGAGCUAAAGUAGCAGUCCUUUCUUAUACCUUUCAUCUCGUGAAUGCACUCAAUUAAGGAUGAAAAAAUCUCGUCAAUUCUCAUUCCAUGAAGGACGACAAGAAAGUAGACUCGCCACGGGGCGCCGAAUCAGGCAAAUAGCCCUUAUCUCUCUUUAUGUCCCACUCGAGAAGACCUUUUCUUGCAGGUCCAAAUUAUGACAUUCUACCUCGAAAAGUGGUUAGGGCUUAGAAAGUAUCAAACUAGAAAAGGAUGCCCCAUGGACGCGAUUUCUUCCAUUCAGCCUAUGGUCUUUUCUCACUAAAAUGUCCAUUGGGUCUUCGCCAAAAACCUGCAUUGAAAAAGGAUGCAAACCAAGGUCAAUAUUCUUUGAACCUUUGAACCCAUGAAUUCACAUGAAAAGGAGUCCCAGAAAAGUGAAGGAAAAGAAAGAGGUUAAUAUGGUAGAUUGAAGACGGGUCAGAAUCAGGAGAUCUCGGACUUAAGGAAGACGGAGCGGUAGGCCUACUUUGAGGGAUCGACCCAGGAGAGGCAUAGGAGUUCAGCGGAUUGCCCAGAGUCUGAGGAGAGACCAGGUGCAGUCUAAUGGAUAGGACUGAGGCGCAUCAAAAAAAAGGUUGAAGAUGACCUUGAUUUUUCAUUGAGGCCGUUCUUCUCCUUGCAGUAGCUUUGAUUCUUUCAAGAGUUGAGGAUCAAAGAAGAUUGAUAAGUAUAUAGGGAUAAGCUAAGCAUUGAGCUAGAGAUCGUAAGACCCAGGCGAAUAGCGAGGCAGAAGGGAUUGUGAUGUCUGAGCUUCUUUCUUACCAUAAAUUAAGAACCUUGAAUGAGGCCGACGGAAAGAGAUCGUCCGAGAGGUUCAAAGAAUAUUGACUUGUUCAUUGAGGCGAUAACCACAAGAGCAAACUCUUGAUAUGAGUUUGAAGAGAUGAAUAUAAGGAAGGAAGCUAGACAAGAGCAUCUAAAUAGGUUUUCUUGAAAUAGGAUCUAAAGGUGCGAAUAGACCAAUAAGGAUCGAGGGGUUGUCCGGCGGAGACAGAAGUCUCCUUCUUCACUCUCGGUCUAUGAAAUGAAAUUGGUUAUACCGCUCUGCUUCUUUGCUUCCUCAUCAAGAUAUGAAUAAUAAGAGGAGUCUUCUUCUGAGAAGUCCGAUCCACUGAGACCCCUUAAGUACUGCUUCCCUUCAAGAAAGAACUCGUUGAGACGAGGUCCAUUCGACGGAGAACAAAGUCCCUCCCUUUUGGCAUACUUGAUGGACCCAGCGGCAUAUCGGGGAAUGGCUCACAAGCAAUGAAUGAGUGGGGGGCGUAGGAUACUCGUUGGGGACUCCCAACAGCACUAUUAGCUGUCUAGCGGAGAAUCUGUUGAGCUUUUGGAAGGAGCGGAGCAUAAGAAGGGGAGGACUUUGAUUCCAUAGUUUUCUUAGAGGCGUAGGAGGACGCUUAUUCCUUUUCUAGAACCUUCUAGAACCUACUAUUUGGAGGCGAAGGACUUCGCACAAUAUUCUUUGCUCCUAAGUCUGCUUUGAAAAGGAAAAAAAGAGUAUUCAUCCUUUCUCUACUUCUACUUUGAGCCUGAAUUUCCCCGUCCUCAGUCGCAGGUUAAUAUGGAUAGUCCUUCGGACGGAAUCAAAAAUCGCAAUAUUCUUUGCACCUUUGUUUUUUCCUUCCGCGGUUCAAGACGCCUCAUUAAUAUGGAUAAAAACAAGUCCUCCUACUCGUUCAAGUUCCACGCAAUAUUCUUUGCUCCUUGCUAAAAGAAAGAAUCUCAUCUUCUCAUAUUUCAUUGACCGUUAGGCUCUCGCAAUAUUCUUUGCGCCUCAAUCGCAUCGCAAAUUCUUUGCGCCUCCGCUCAAAUUCCCUAAUGGAUAGUCAUCUGGACCCCUUAUAAUUGGGGGCCAUAGAUCUUUGCGCCUCUCAUCAAAUCCCCUAAUGGAUAGUCCUUCGGACCUGUCUUAUGGGGCCUCCGUAGCUUAAUAUGAUUUGCGAAAAUUUGAUGCGUCUUUUCCGCUUCGAAUAUGAAUUCAUCCUGAGAGCAGAACAAUUGACAAGGUUUGCUGCGGAGUUAGAGUUCUUCUUUUCUCAUGCAAGCUUGUAAAUGAUAGGUCUAAUUACUAUCCGCAUCUCUACCCGUAUUACCGGAAUCUAAAUCAAAUGGGUCUUGUCCUACGGUCGGUCUGUGUUGGAUUGAGCUCAAGUUCACUUCUUUUACCUUUCGUUUUCUACCUGAAAAUGCUCUACUUAGAAAAAAAGAGAAAUUCUGAUGUUCAAUUUGGAGGUUCUUCAAUCUAUGAAAAGAGAUGCUAAGAAAGAAUUCAAGAAAGUCCAUUACUGGUGAUCUCGUCUUGCUUGCUGGGAGAGAGGACGGACCACCUUUUGAAGGCAGAUAGCGAGCGAUCACUCAGCAAUUCAGACUAAAAGCGGCCGAGAAUUAGUACCUAUCCCUUACGGGAAUCGAACCCGUGUCUUCGACAUGAAAAGACGAUGUCCUAACCACUGGACGAAAGGGACCAAAAAGCCAUUCUUCAUAUACCUAGUAGUGGGAUCCGAGAAUAGAAGUCCUUCCUUUGAUUGAUAUACGCAAUUCGACGAUUUCCUUUGUCUGAAUCUUGGCGAUUUCUGAUUCAGCGGGUCCUCCCCCCUUCCCCCACCGAUGAGACAGCAACCACGCCCCCUUCGUAAACUCACUCGACUCAAUUACGAAAGAAAUAAGAAGAUAUUAAUAGAUAUAAGAAGAUAAGAAAGCUCUGAUGAUGCGUCUUUCUGUACUCUUCGGGAAGCCCAUAAAUUAUGAAUCUUUGCGAAUGAAAGACUAUUACAAUCAAUGAUUGAGGGAGCGGAAAGAAAGGCUCCACUAAAGAAGGGCAGAGGAAGACUGAGAGUUAGUAUGAUGAAAGAGGUUAUCAGCUGCUAUCCGGUUAGGAGGGAAGGAAUUGAAGACGAAUCGAGGAUUUGAGACAGAGGUUAGAACGACCUACAGGAAAGGAUCGGGUAUUUCAUUCAUAGAGCUUUUAGGGGUCAAGACGAUCUAUCAUUCCCCAACUCCUAUCCUUAUAUGAGAGUCACUCAAAUUCUGAUCGCCAUUCUCUUCUUUGUUCUCUCUUUCCUUGAUUGAGUCUUCCACGCAAUCUAUCUAUCCUGUAUCGGGAAGGUUGGAAUAUGCUCUCCUCUUCUUCCUACAUUUCCUGAAUAACUUCAAGGCGUCACCGAUCGGGGACUUCGACUGCCUUGUAUCAGGUUCAGAGAAGGGGUGGUAGGCUUAGUAGGGCUCGAACCUAGAAUAUCACCCUUAUGAGCGGUACCUUGAAAGCAAUGAAACUAUAAGCCCGAUCUCUACAUGCAAUUCGCUCACUUCGGGAAGAGGAAAGAGGAGAGGUGCAAAGAAUAUUGCGAGGCGCCAUAAGACAGGUCCGAAGGACAGACAGGCGCAUUGAAUAGAUUAUGCUGAAGGCUAGGCGCAAAGUUCGGUUAAUUACGGAAAGUCCUCCGGACUACUUCGGUUAAUUACGGAUGGUCCUACUUCUGUUAAUUACGGAUGGUCCUACGGAUAAAUCCUCCGGACUACUUCCCUCCAUAUGGAUGGUCCUACGGAUAAAUCCUCCGGACUACGGAUAAAUCCUGCGGACUCCGGACCCUGGACCUUUCUUUGAUGGAGGUGAAAAGAAUAUUGACAAAGAAUAUUGCGAGGUUCAUACUAUUACUUUAAAUAGUGGGACUGAUUUUGAUCCAUAUUCCUGAGGGAGCGGUACUACUUUCUUUUUUUGUGCCCGGUCCAACUAGGAGGGAUGGAACUCAUGCCUCCCGCGGUCGAGCUAGCUUGUUCUCGCUGCUCUCUUUUCUUUAUAGAAAAGCAUAAAAGCUUCAUCUUUGAUUUGUGUGAGGUAAAAGGGGUUCUUCUUGAACGAGAUUUGUUCGUAAAUCUCUACUAUAGAGAAAGGAAAAAAGGAGUAAGUCCGCUGAUUUUACGUGAUUUCUUCCAUCUUGCCUAUGGCGGAAAAGAGCUUAUUAAGGGCGAAAGCAAAGAACCGUGCUCUAGGCGCAGGAUCUGGGAUGUCACAAAGCGACUGUAAACAACCGCCGCUACACAAGGGGAGGAGUCUUUGCAGCUUAGUUGGGUUAAGUUAAGUCGCCAAAUUCUCAAUUCUUCAUUUCCCUUGUAACAAAAAGUAGCCGCCAUUGCAGGAGCCGUUUCAGGAGUCGCUGCAGGCGCUCUUCGUCUUCUAGUUUCAGCUUUUGUUGAAGUAGCCCUUGUUCGAUCGAUCGAAAAGGCUAGAUCUCUGUCCCAUAUUUCCAAGGCUAAAAGAAAAGGCUGAUUCAAGGUCGUAGCAGUGAGAAAAAAAGACUUUUGACUCGUCCGAAGGACUUGUUUAUCCAAUUAUAAGGAAGACGGAGCGGUUCCAUCCAUAACAAGGUGAACCAACAAAGGAGUCCGUCGCUGAGGAGGUCGGAAAGUGAAGGGCACCACGGUCUGGUCCCAGACCGAUUCAGUGGAAGUUGCUUUGUUGAAAAGCGAUUAUGAAUAUUCUUGUAUAUAAAGACGUAAGAGAAAGAAAGGUGCGAAGCAAAAAGAAAGUGAAGGAAGACGUAGCGGUAGACUAAGAAAGUAGUACAAUACAAGAAGGGACAAAGGCCCCAUAAGAAGAAAGAGGGAUGGGAUCGCGCACGCCCACUACGCGGGGGAAUAGGUUUCAUAGUCCUCCGGAAUUAUUAAGGAGAAGGACGCUCGCAAUAUGGGCCUCCUACGCUUAAUAUGGCAAAGAAUAUUGCGUUUUGGAUAGCUCUGAUUUUGGUUUUCGUCCUUCGUCCUCUCAAAUUCUUUCUCAAUAUUCUUUCUCAAUAUUCUUUGCACCUCUCCUCCAUCUCAGUCGAGCCGCUAAUUUGUAAUUCAACUCCGUUAGGUCCUCCGGACUAUCCAUAUUAACCCAGAUUUCAGACUCCGCACUCAACGCAUAUUUCAUUGCGCAUCUGGACCCCUUAUAAUUGGGCCAUAGAUCUUUGCUCCUCGCAAUAUUCUUUUUUUCUGUCUUGUAAAUCAUCAAAAUCUUAUAAGAAGAGAGACCAAAAAAAAGGGAAGGAAGAUGAAGGAUCCGCGGAACUGAAUGAAGAAGAAUUAGUACGGGUCUGGAGCUGCCAAGCUAUUAUUUGAAAAAUAUAGAGUAGAUUAUGAGUACCCUCAUGGCUUGAAAACAAGCUUCGGUUGGGAGUCUGACUUGGAAUUAGAAGUUUCCCGAAGCGAGAGAGAGAGAGUUUACUUCGGAAUUCUCAGAAGAAUGAGUAAGAGAAAGAGGAAUUCCACCCUAGCCUCAAGCCUGAAUUUAUGUGGGAUCAGAUUCUGAUAAUAAAGAAGAAAGCUCAGAGGAUCGUCUAAUGAGUCAGAUCGGCUAUCUAUGAUAUAGGAGGAGGGUAGCUUGGAGACAAAGACCAUAAUAAACUGAGUUGGAGUUGACUCGCGGUGUGAAUAGACUGUAUCAGCAGAAGUCUCGGAAGAGGAAUGAGUUGGAGAAGAAAGAAUGAACUCCAUAAUCUCGUAUUAUAAUAAGAAGAAAGAAUCUCUUAUCAUAUUAGCUUUCUCUCUUUCAUUCAUAGUCAGCUCUCCCGGAUUCAGUCUCAUAACUCUGAUUAUUAGUGGGGGAGUCGGCCUUGGGGAGGUUCAAAGAAUAUUGACGGAGCGGUCUCGUAGACAAGGUAUGAAUGAGAACGAGAAGGAGAAUCAAGUCUCACGGAAAGCUUAUCGACAAAUCUGCCUAUUUUUGGGGUGCACGAGGCUCAAAGAAUUUGAGAGAACUCGAAGCCUGCUCGUAGAAUACGGCUAGGCACAGACUCUCCAAAGAAGGCUACUAGGAUCAGACUUGCUUGGGACCGGACCAGAGUGACCGGACGACCAGAAAUUCUUUUCUUUCAUCUUCGUAUAAGGUAAUUAUCUCUUUCUACAUCAGAAGUAGGGGACCAGGGAAUUCCCAGUCGACCGAGUUCUCUCUAAUGGAUAGGGUCGACGAGAGAAAUAAGGUGAUGAAUCAGUCGAGUCAAAUCAGAGACGAUCGCAGUCUUCUUAUCUACUUAGUUUCGGAAUGCAGUAGGAAGACGGGAAGAGGUUUGAGUAUUGAAUAGUUUCCGGGAGAGAGAAGAAGCAAUCUCACACUCAGUUUCAGAAGAGUCAGUGGCAGCCGCUGUGGCAGUUGCUAACCCAAGUGGAUAGUCUUGUGCCGCUAUUAUAGAAGAAGACUGAGAAUGAUCUCUUUCCCGAAGAGGGAACUAUCACAAAGCAAAUAUCUCAAUUCUAAGCAUUCUCAAUUAGUAGGUCGAAGCAAGACCGAGUUGGAGACAGCGUAGCGAGACCAAAUAGAGGGAGGCCUUAGCCUCUCUAUAGGCGUUCCGAUCCUUUUCCCGGCUGCGUCCUACAUAGUCAAGAGCACUUGUAAGAAUUCCCUAUAUCCGAUACUGGAUAGACCCUGUCUUCCUUCUAAGGAUCGAACUGGAACUCUUCACUCUGAAAGAAGAUCGACUGAUUCCGAUCUGGAUCUUCCCUCGUCAACUGAGAAUACCGCUUCCCGAUUUUCUGAUAAGAGAAUUCCGAAAUCAGUCCCAAGAUAAGGAUGCCUUGGUUAGCAUAUGAAAUGUGCACAGCUCUUGAUUCGUAAGAAAGCUACUUGCCAUUUAGAAUACAGAGUGAUGAGACUAAGAAUAUCCCUGUCUUAUGGGGCCUUCGUAGCUUAAUAAUGGGGGUCCGGGAUAGACUCUUCCUCUAGCUUCGGAAAGACUAUCUCAUACGAAGAGAAAGAAGACAGAUGAAACUUAAUCAACUGCGGGGAUAAGUUGAAUUAUUCAUACCGAGAGGAUAGACUUAGAUACCCGCGGGAAAAGAAAGAACUCUUCAAUUUAGCGCUCCACCCAUUUUAUUCUUUAGAAAUCCUAUUACAAAGAUUACUAUCGCCCAAGGCUUCUUCUGACUCUGGAUGAGGUCCCUGCCUCCCCUACUGAUGAGAAUAGUACUUCUUCCUCAACUUCAAGACCCGAGACCUUACGGCACGAGCUCUGGAAGGAGGAGAAUGCUCCUUCUUGUAGAAAUAGGUUUUUCUGCUUUAUAUCCCGCCUAUCCCCCCGGGUUAGCCCCUUGUUUGUCGAGGUCAAUAUUCUUUUCACCUCUUUCUCUGGGUCUGACCUUUCGUCCCUAGGGAUCCUGAAUGAAAGUCUUCCCAUUCUUCUUAUUCAUUCCCUUGCUUCCGAGUGAUAUUCUCUAAUAGAAAGAAGACGGAGAUCCCGGAAGAGAUAUUCUCUACCCUAUCCAGUCUCUCCUAUUCUCCUGAUGACAUCGACUUCCCUUGCAGCCUCAACUGAGCACUUGCUUCAUUCAACGGAUUUAUGAAAGAUUCGUACUGCCUAUGAAACCGAGACUAAGCGAUCCCGAAACAAAGUAGCAAGACGGAGAUCCCGAAAGAGAGAAUGAAAGUAAGUAGUUGACCUAUUCACACAUCUAUUCCUAGAAAAGUCGUAUUCAGACCGAAGACUGAAAAGAUAUGAUAACCUCGUCUUCUCUGUCGAGCUGACCUAUCCAACUAAUAAUCAGAUAUGCCGAGACCCUACUUUAGUUUUUAUAAGCUUCGGAUCUUCCCUUUAACGGUCUUCCCUUUCUCCCCGAGUGGGGUUCCCUAUUUCGGCGGCAACUGAGACUGAUGACUUUAGGGCUCCUUCUACCCUCUCUGCGUACUCAAUCCUAUCUUUGAGGCUUCCAAUCAGCCCUUAUUGAGGCGGUAUCGCUGACUCCCUAGCUUCGGGGACUUAGACGGAUGACUCUUUCUUUUCCAGCAGUCUAGCCUUUUUGUUCUCGAUGCUACCGCGGAGUGGGACUGAAAGCCUAUUCAUACCUUCCCCUCUCAUCUGGUCGAGACUGAUUAGUCUAAGUCUCCGAAGUAUUGGUCUCGAAGUAGAUAAGUUCGGGGGAUCCGGAACGAGUUUGGAAGUAAUAAAGAAGUAGUUCGUUCGCGCCUUGCCCAGUGGGUCAACUUCUAACCUUCCCCGCGGAGUGGGCGCGGAUCAUAUGUUCGUUCCCUAGCCUUCUUCGCAAAUUCUUUGCGCCUCAAGAUCUUUGCUUUUUGGUCCUCUUGACAUAUGAACUUCUUCUUUUCCAUCGCUUGAUUGAUACUCUGCCAGACGUGGACCGGCUUCGCGUGCGCCUGUAUAUCUUGAAGGGCCACUGACGGCCUCGCACUUUGGGCGCAGGGUUUGAGAAAGGAAAAGAAAGAAAUAAAGAAAGAGAAAGCUGAAACUAUCAGAAUCUAUAUGAUUCAGUAUGAAUUAGGCGAAGGACUUUAUCAAGCUUAAUCAUAUUUCAUAAAUAAGGGGCGAAGUGUAGUAAAUCAAAGAAAAUGAGCUCAUUAACGAGAAUUGAAAAGUCAAGAAUCAUUAUUCUUUCAUAACCUUGUUCAUUGGGAAUCAAGAAUAGACCUCUCUUUCUCCGUCCGUAGGACUAUCCAUUAGAAAAGUUUUCACAAACUAUGUGAAUUUCUUAUCCCUUUAUGAUUCUUUCAUUGCUAUUUCCCGGCUUUUUUGCUUCUAAAUAGGACUUUUUCUCAUAUUGAUAUUCUACGAUAAAAGUACUUUAUUGACUGAUUUUUCAUGAUUUCUUGCUACUUCCCUAUGGGCAAAACCUAGCAUUUUCUUGUAUUUCCCUCCGCGAAGGACUAGUCUUCAAUCUCCCAUAUUCACCUCUUUCUUUUUCAUUCCCAUUUUUUUCUUCUUUCAUUAUCGUUAAUGAGCUGUCCUACGUGCCAAAGAAAGGUCCAGGGUCCUACGUCCGCAGGGCCAAAGAAAGGUCCAGGUGAUUUAUCCGUAGGACCAUCCAUAUGGAGGGAAGUAGUCCGGAGGAUUUAUCCGUAGGACCAUCCGUAAUUAACAGAAGUAGGACCAUCCAUAUGGAAGGAAGGACUCUAAAACGGAGGCGCAAAGAAUUUGCGAUGCGACUUUGAGCCAAAAGAAAGAAUGUCAUCUUGAGCCUUGCAAUUCUUCCAAAUAGUAAUCCCUUCUUCCAUUGUGAAUCUGAGGGUAGCACUUUCAUGAGAGGGGGAAGAAGUCAGAAAAGCAUCAGCCCACUACGCGGUAGCAAGAGAAGGAGCUAACCCCUUUUUUCCGUCAUAAGUAUUCAAGAAAGGAAGCCGCAAAUCCUUUACUGGAAAGAAAAGUACGAGGCAGCUAGGGAAGCCUCUCUUUCUAUAGGCAGGCGCUGCGGUAUGAUUUAUAUCAUGAUGAUAUGCUUUGAGUAGGACUAGCGCAUCUUAAUCUUCGAGGUUAGCCCUAGCCUCAAGCAAGCUAUAACUAUUCAUUAGUAGGAGCGGACUCAAGUCAAUAUUAAAAGACCCUUGCUUUAGUUUCUGCUUGAGUUUCAGAAGUUCUUUCUUGUAUAGAUAGAAAGGCUUAAUUAAGCUAGAAUAAAUACGACUUAAACCUACUAUUUAGAUUCAAGCCUAUGGACUUCUGAUCAUUCCACUAAAUCUUUCUGACCCGAGCAAAGAAUAUUUCAAAAUCAAGCUCAUCCUCAACCUUGUUUUUGAUGAGCUUGAUUUUUCAUGGAUCUUUGAGCCUCUCCCGAUUCCCCUUUCUUUGAGAAAGAGCUUACGAUUUCAGAGUUCUUGCUUUCCA
rnacentral:lncRNA from 1 species